GCAAUCAGGGAAAAGGUUAAGGAUGUGGUUAUUGAUGAGCAAGCGAUCUAGUUUUUUAGCUAUAGGUUCCUCAGGCCUUCGGUUAGUCCAGGUAAACAGGGAUCCUUGAAAACGCAAGUCAAAGAGACCCAUUUGAGUGAGACAAUCUUUGAACUCGAUCAUGGCUGGGGAUAAAGAGUUUACGUCCAGUAGAGAGUGCUCAGCCGGAUGCAAGAUCUGAUUGAAGUCUCCACCUAACAUCCAGGGGGUGGUAGCAAGGGAGAAGGUUUGAUAAGUAUUCAGAAGCUCAACCCAAAGGUCAGUGCGUUCCGAGCUUUCAUUAGAGGCGUAGACUGCCGUGUAUAUAAAGACUGAGGUUCCAGGCAUCUUUAUUUCACAAGUAAUGGCUUGUCUCGAUAGAUGCAGGACAUGCACAAAAAUGUUGUCCUUCCAAAUAACAAUGAUUCUGCCAUCGCCGUCUGCCAAGUAAUUAGAGGUAAAGUUCCAUCCUCUACAGAGCUUUCCCGUAAGGUGGUUAAGGUUAUGGGUUUUGAUGUGAGUCUCUAGUAUAGUACCAAAAGAGGGUUGAUGACUCGAAAGUCAUUGGCAAAAGGGUGAAUGUUUUAUCGGGUCAUUUAGUCCCCCAACAUUCCAAAAAAAAAAAAUUGUAUUCAUAGGGAAUUAGUCAAUGGCCUCUUCAGGAUGAAGAGGGCCAUGAGGCACCAAAAGAGAGAAGGGGUUAGAAGAAGGGUCAAAGUGAAAAGUGGAAUCAGGUGGGAUCGGAGGAUUUAGGUUAGAGGAUGAUGAAGAGAAGAAAUUUAGUUGAGCAGUAAAAGAUGGGAAUUUUUGGUUUGAGGGGCUGGAACGUGGUCUUUUUAAUGGAGGUCUGGGCUUGGUGGGGAUAAAGGGUUUGGAAUGAAAGGGAUUAACUGGUUAGAGGACGAAAGUAGGGAAUUUUGGUGAGGCUUUUGCUGAGAGGGUGUUGUGUUUGUGGUAUGGCUUUUUAUAGCAGGUGAGGAUUUUACAGGAUCGGGAACAGGGGAGGCAAGAGGAGCAGAGGAAUCAGUAGACGGAAUAAUAGGGGCAGAGUGUACAUUAGCAGAAUCUGUGGAGGUUCUACGAUUAUUACAAUUAUUAGUGAAAAUAUACAAAAAAUGAAUAUACAGCUUUCCAAAUAUAUUUAUAAAAUUAUGUAAAAUAAUUUCAAAUUGAAAAAUUAUGAUUAAAACUCAUUACAUAGUUUGUUUAUCAAUAUUUUAUGAGAAUUGUACAGAUACGCAUAAUUAUCUCUUGAAAUCUUCACAAAUGCUCAUAAAGGUUCAAAUCAUGAAUGAUAAACUAGUUAUUAAUCUAAAUUAUUAAAAUAGAACUACAGAUAAGAUUUGACCCUGAUUUUUCCUAAAUAUUUACAAUCUAAUGCCAGUGAUCUAAAUAAGGCCAUUUUAUCAAGACUAGCUAUUGACUCGUCUGUUUAAGAGUUGAGCUUGUUCAUUCUGUUUCAUUCAUUCGAAAUUGAUUGUGAACUUUCUUGAGUCUGUAACAUCUCUGUAACUCGUUUGAUCCUUAUCGUUUGAAGAUCUUUCUUGUUUACGAUCUUCUACAUCUGGAUUAUGUUUUGUUGUUUCAUGAACGGCGAAGCGAUUCAAAUAACGAAAUCAACGGAUCCUCGUUAUUAGUGGUAUCAGAGCCACUCUUCCUCGGAGCGGUUGGUAAUUGUUGAUCGGAUUCAAUGGUGGAAACUCGUGCGCAGGCGGCGUUGAAGGAGUCGACGUUGCGAGAGGUAUUUCAUUAUGGUAUUUAUAUAAAUCGACUCGUGAACAUAUCAAUCACAGCAAAGCCGGAAAAUGAAUUCACCAUUGACCCUCACUUUUUCUCGAGAAGUCCGCCGUCGAGAAGAUGUUCCAACCACCAGCAGCUUCGGGUAUCUUAACUGUGAGGCUUUCUGACGCAGUCUGAACAUAGCAUAGAGAGAUUGGUCAUUUUCUUCGUAGUUUUAGUUUCCAAGUGUAAAUCUCCCUCUACUCGCCAAACAUGGAGAAUCCAGAGGUUUCUUGUGAUGAUGAUGAUGAGCUGCCAUUGAGCCACAUAGUAGAUGUGGAAGAUUUUAGAAGCUAUUGUGCUGAUGAACAAGUAUGGUCUAAGGAAAGUGAUAAUACAGCAUAAGUAGCCGAGGAUGAGGAGGAGGAGGAAGAGGAGAAAAGAGAUGAACUUGGGGGUGAAUUCUCUGUUAAGUUGUUCUUUAAAGGAGUUUCAAUAACCGAGAGAGGAGAUUCAAGUUCUGGUUAUUCAGGAAUUGGUGUUAUAUUGAAGAGAUCAGGAAAUUUUGAGUUGAUUCAGGUCCAGAAGAAGCUGGACUUUUACGCUGAAGAGUCUGUAGCAAACUACGUAGCUUUACUAUAUGGUCUUACAGUAGCUUUACAAAACAAUCUCCUCUUUGUGGUUGCUGUAACAGUCUCAGAGUUUCUCUAUAAUCAGGCAAGUCGCUCUUUCAAAUGGUUUAAUCAUCUCUUUUGUAGCUUUGUUGUUUAUAUGAAAAUGGCAUUGAUGAGUAGUGAGGAGAAGAUUGAGAUCCCUAUCUUGGUAGCUCUGAGAGAAAGGAUGUUGGAGAAAACAAGUAACUUUGAUGGGUUUGUUCUAAAGAUUGCUCUUUUAUGUGAUCAUGACCAAGCUCUAAGCCUGGCUUAAGUAGCGGUAUGUGAUCUUCAAAAUUCUAGAGCAGACGGUAAUUGUAUUGCUUGUGGUACAAGUGAAGGUUGAUGUGAUGGACUCUGAGUCAUUCUUUUCCAAAUAGGUAUUGUCUUAGAAAAUGACGCUCUUUCUUUUAUCCAUUCUGUUUUUGUUCUUUACAAAAUUAUAUUGGAGUUUUUUCUUAAAAAUGUGGUACAAUUGUAUUUUGCCUAACUUGCUUUCAUUA